CCUCAAUGAGUCUAUAUCUUUGACUACCUUGCUGGGAAUCGAAAAAAGUGACAUCACAUAUGUUGGCAAAGAGUCUAAAACAGAAUUAAUCAAAGUGACUUUUCCCCCAAGGAUAGAUAUUGAGAUUUCCAAAGUGCCUGUCUCCCCUCUGAUUUUUUCUAGUACAUCAUCCCAGAUGCUAACUACCUUAUGCUUAGCACCCAAUGGCAUACCGAGAUAAACGGUAGGCAACCUUCUAUCUUGCACUUCAAUAUAUUGGCCAAAGCUUGAAUCUGUUGGACCUCUUUAAUAAGAAAAAUGCUACUUUUCCUCCAAUUCACCUUAAGUCCAGAGCAUGCCUCAAAAAUUACCAGAAUAAUUUUGAUGUGACAGAGUUGUUCCUGCUUCACAAAAAAUUAUUGUGUCAUCCAAAUACAGUAAAUGAGUCAUAUCCAUCACCUCAUUACUCCUGAUUUUGAUUGUGAAACUAAUCCAGUUGUUUAGAGAAGCUCUCCUCAUCAAACUGUCCAACCCUUCCAUGGCAAUGAUAAACAGGAAAGGGGACAAAGGGUCUCCUUGUCUAAGACCUCUUUCCGCAAGAAAAAAACCUACAGAUUCUCCAUUAACCAAAUGGAGAACCUCGUGGUUUUAAUACAAAACUCAAUCCACUUGAGCCAUGUAGGGACAAAACCCAUUUGCCUAAGAGUGUUGAUCAGGAAAUCCCAAUUAAGAUUUUUCAAUAUUCAGUUUGCACAUUACCCCUGGCACAUCUCCUCUAAUCCUAGUAUCAAUACAUUCACUAGCAAUUAAAGCAGCAUCCAUUAUUUGUCUCCCUUUAAUGAAAGCCAUUUUAUUUUUGUUGACUAGCUUGUCUAUCACCUUCUUCAGCCUUUCUACCAACAGUUUGACAAUUAUUUUAUAAACCCCAGUAAUGAGACUAUUGCUCUGAAGUCUUUUAGAUCAUUUGCCCCCACCUUCUUAGGAAUUACAGCUACAAAGGUAGCAUUGAAACUCUUCUCAAAACUUUGGUGACAGUGAAAGUGUUUGGAAGGUUUGCAUCAGAUCUUCCUUUAUAGUUUCCCAGAAUGCGUGAAAGAAGGCCAUGGUAUAACCAUCAGGUCCAUGUGCUUUAUCACAAGCGCACAAUCUUAUCCCUUCUAGCACUUCAUCCUCACUGAAAUUCUCUAGAUAACCAGCUCUGCUCAUCCAUUUUAUUCUCGGUACGUUAAGAAUAUUUAGUGAGGGUCUCCAGUUUUCUACCUCCUUAUACAAAUGGUGGUAAAAAUCCAGAAUAGAGUUCUUGAUUUCCGCCGGCUCAGAGGAUAACUCUCUAUUAAUCUUUAAUGACUCAAUUGUGUUGAUUCUCUUGUGAGUUGUUGCCAUUCUGUGGAAAUGUUUUCUAUUUUUAUCGCCAUUCUUGAUCCACUGAAUUCUGGACCUCUUUCUCCAAAAAAUUUCUUUAUUUUUUGCCACCUCCUCGUAUUCCAUGCCCAAGUGUACCUUUAGAAGCUGUUCAUCACCAGUAAGAGAUCUAGUCUCUUGAGUAACUUCCAUGUCCCUUAUCUGACUCAAAAUUUUCUCCUUCCUUGCUUUCCACUUCCCCCUAUUCUCUCUGCUCCAUUCCUUCAAUUUUGUUUUAAGCAACCUCAACUUAGUAGCUAGUUUGUAGUCUGGUCUUCCUAGCACUUCAAAGGAGCUCCACCAUUCCUGAACUUUACUUUUGAAACCCUCUAAAUUAAGCCACCACUUUUCAAACUUGAAUUAAGAUUUCCUGAAGGCCUUAUCCCCACAAGUUAAGACGAUGGGAUUAUGGUCAGACCCCAAGCUACGCAGAGUACAUUGCCUAAUUUGAAGGAACAUUUCAUCCCAUGGGAACGAGUAUAAAAAUCUGUCUAUCCUGGAGUCAUUCCUAUGAUUUGCCCCUCCUCUCCAAGUGUAUGAGCCCCCAAAUAAAGGGGGUUCAAUCAGCUCCAAUUCGUUGAUACAACUGGACAGAUCUAUCAUGGCUCUAGAAAGCCUGAUACAGUUGGUUUUCUCCGAAGGAAAUCUAGUAGUAUUGAAAUCCCCACAUACUACCCAAGGCCCUUCACAGAGACUCCUCAUAGCUCCUAAUUCUUCCCACAACUUCAUCCUUUCAUUUCUAUCACAAGAUGCAUAGACUGCUGUGAGAAACCAAGUUAGUUCUUGAUUAACUUUAUAUAAUUUACAAGUAAUUGAUUGAUUUCCAUAUUCCACCAUCUCCCCUUUCCAUGAUCUUUUGUCCCACAUAACUAAAAUUCCACUCUUGCUUCCAAUCUCUUCCAGCCAUACUCCCCCUAUCCACCUAUUCCCCCCUAAUUGUUGUAUAUAAUCCCCCACUGCCCCAUUUAGCUUUGUCUCCAUCAAAACUAUAAUAUCUACCCCCUCCUGUUGUAAAUGGGUUGGCUAGCCCAACUAAUUUGAUUGGGGUUUCACUUGACCUGCAGCAGUGGGGCCCCCAUAUGCAUGUCCCAUCACAUCCACAAGAUCAUUUCCCUCUCUCCUUAGCUCAAUUCUCUGUGAAGUCAACAUCUGCUUUAUGGCAUCAGCAGCUUUUUCUACAUGGCUGCUGGACCCCACAACACUCCUUAAAUGCAUAUCAUUAUCCACAUGAUCCUUUCUCUCUCUCCUUUGCCCUGAAACCUGGGAAGUCAACAUUUGCUUUAUGGAGUUAGCAACUUUAUCCCUUUCCUUUUCUAGCCUAGGACUGACUUCUUGGCUUUCAAACCACCUCAGAUCUGCGAAAUCUUGCUGGAGCUUCAACCCAAACUGUAAGGGAAAAAAUCAAACCACCAUCUUGAAUUUCAACUUCCCUGGAAAUAUUUUCAAUGGGACCUUUCCCUUUGAUUCGAGCCCAUCGCAGAUGAUUUUUUUUUGAGGAUUAAAAAAAAUAAAAAAAAUGGUGGUUUUCUCGUGGUUUCUUCUUCUGUCGCGAGCCAUCCCCCACAUUUAUCUCCUAUCUCUUUCAUAAUAUUUUCAGACCAUAGUUGGAGAGGUAGACCAAGUACUCGAAUCCAAAACCAUUGAAAGGUGGUGUGGGCUGGAUAAGCCCCAGAUGUCGGAGACCACCAGUCAAACUCAAGUUUAUUCCCCGUCUCUUCCAAUUACCAAGAAGAAUGUGUUCUGCAUCUUUCCUCGACUGGAAUUCGAACAGGAGUUGAAUGCCAUUCUUGUCGAAAACCUGAAUAUUGUGAACUCCUUUCCAAGUUUGUUGGAUCCACCUUCUCACAUCAUUUCUUGUUGGGAUCUCGUUGCAAUCUGGAAAGCUUCCUACUAGGCAUCUCUGUAAAAGAUCUUUUCCAUCUUGGUGUGAAGAAGCUGUCAUAAUGCCUUGUACCUUGGAGAUAGUUGGUUCCUGCACCAUCCAUCUGUUCUUGUACAGAGCAUCCUUGUAGCUGCCUUCUCCUCUCUUUGAAGGAUGAUUUAUCUCCCCUACUGCUGGAGUACCAGCUUGCAUUGAAGACCUCCUAUUAAUGAAGCUUUCAAUCCGGCUGACAAGUCCCAACCACCCCUCAUUGUCCUUGUUUUCUGGGAUAAUAAUAAUAGACCUCAUUUGGCCAUUGAUCGUAAUGAUCGACAAAAAAUGACCAAGCUUGUUGAACUUCAAAGAGCAAAAGAUAUUAGUUGAAACAUUUCUGCCUCUCCAUGUCUUGAACAUUUUACCCCUGACUUCUGAUGCUUCUCGCAACCUUCUGCGUAGCCAACCCAGAGCCCCUUUGCUCAAAGUCAUCCUCCUGGGGUAGUGCCUAGAGUUUUCCACCCAUUCAAACCAUGUAUCAGAAUACAUUAUAGUCUCUGUAAUGUCAAAAGAUUUCCCACCUAGUCUAAAGUAAGUAUGAUUUCCCAUGGUGAAAAAAAAGGCUUUCAAAGAAAUGAAGGAUAGGGAAAGAUUCCGGUGGUUGAGGACCACCAGCUAUAAAGUCAAUAUGUGACGAUCUUUGGGUCACGGGUGGGGGGUGGGGUGGGGGGGGGCGACUUUGUUUAGACAUAUUCUAGUUGGAUAGAGGAGCUAGAACUUAAAGAUCCUACUUCGAUGGGUAGGAGUUAAACUUGUUUUAGGGGGAUUACUCACCAAAGUGCUGCUAGGUUGGACAGUUUUUUGUAUUCUAUGGAAUGGGAGGAGAACUUCAAAAGCAUCAGACUGAGAAUCCUUCCAAGAGUAGCUUCUGAUCCAUGUAUCAUUCUUGAAUGUGGAGACUGGGAAGUGGGAACAGAGACAACCUUAUUUCAAAUUCGAAGAGUAGCUUCUGAUCCAUCUUUACAUACACGAUGAGCCUAUUUCCUAUUCCUAAAAGCAUAGAAAAAAGAAUCAAUAGAUUGAGAAGACCCUUCCUAUGGAAAGGGAAUAAGCAGAAGAGAGGCUACAAUAUGGUAAAAUGGGAUAUUUUUACCCUUGAGAUAAAGGGGGUCUUGGACUGAAGAACCUCAGCAAACAGAACAAUUGUCUUCUAUAAAAGUGGUUAUGGAGAUUCUGCACAGAAGAUGGGGCCUUAUGGAGAAGGCACAUAGCAGGAAAGUAUGGCUUACUUAGCUACUGAAUAGCUGAAGAAGUCAUGAGCACAUUUGGUCGUAGUGUCUGGAUCAGGAGACUUUGGCCUUACUUUAUCAACAACAUCUCCAUUGGUGUUGGUAAUGGUCUGAAAAAUGCUUUCUGAAAUGAAGUUUGGGUAGGGGAGAGCAGCUUGAGAAACUUAUUCCCCCAAUUAUACUCUUUGAGCUUGUAGAAAAAAGAUACUCUUCUAGUGUGGAGCCAGCAGGGAUGAAACCUACUCUUCAGGAGAGCAAUAAAUGGCUGGGAAAUCAGACGAGUAGCAAGCCUUCUGGGAACGUUAAACACUUGCCCUGGUAUUUCUAUGAGCCCAGAGAAGCCAAUCUGGAAACUACAUAGCAAAGCCACUUCAUCGUCAAGUCAUGUUACUGGAAUAUCGAUUCCAAACAGAUGGCAACAGACACAGGGCCUUGGAAGGAAAUCUUGGAAGGUAGAAGUCCACUAAAGGUGACUUGUUUCUCAUGGCUAGUGUGCAGGAAAGCCUGCCUCACACAUGAGGCACUGCAGAGAAGUGGAUGGCAGGAGUUAGCUGGGUGAUGCCCAAGACAACCUUGGAGUUGAUGAAUCAAUGGUCAGGAAUUGGCAACAGAGAGAGAUAAAGAUUGGUGGAAGACAAUAUCAGCUUGAUAUGGUGGAACUUAAGGAGAGGAAUGAUAGGUGCUUUGAAGAUCAGAGAGUCAACUUACUGAAGAUAAGGAUGAAGUGUAUAAGCCUGCUAUUUUUCUUGUGUAAACAAGAGUUCAUAGGGAAGGCAGUAUUUUAGGUAGAUUUCAUAGGAAACUUGUAAAUGUACCCAAAUGGGGGUGUGCCCACCACUCUGUGGAUUCAUUGAAUGAUGAAUUGUAUAUGUGAAUACAAAGUUA